GACGAACGCUGGCGGCGUGCUUAACACAUGCAAGUCGAACGGAAAGGCCCUGCUUUUGUGGGGUGCUCGAGUGGCGAACGGGUGAGUAACACGUGAGUAACCUGCCCUUGACUUUGGGAUAACUUCAGGAAACUGGGGCUCAUACCGGAUAUGAGCUCCUGCUGCAUGGUGUGGGUUGGAAAGUUUCGGCGGUUGGGGCUGGACUCGCGGCUUAUCAGCUUGUUGGUGGGGUAGUGGCUUACCAAGGCUUUGACGGGUAGCCGGCCUGAGAGGGUGAACGGCCACAUGGGGACUGAGAGACGGCCCAGACGCGUACGGGAGGCAGCAGUGGGGAAUAUUGCACAAUGGGCGGAAGCCUGAUGCAGCAACGCCGCGUGCGGGAUGACGGCCUUCGGGUUGUAAACCGCUUUCGACUGUGACGAAGCGUGAGUGACGGUAAUGGGUAAAGAAGCACCGGCUAACUACGUG
rnacentral:rRNA from 1 species